rnacentral:tRNA from 1 species
GCCGGGAUGGUGGAAUUGGUAGACACGCUAGAUUCAGGUUCUAGUGAGGGUUUCCUCAUGCAGGUUCAAGUCCUGUUCUCGGCACCA